CGAAGAGCGCACAGGGGCGGUGCGCUGGACGGCGGAGCCAUCCAGUCAGAAGUCCUUCAGGGCCUCGGCCGGAAGCCAUGACAGACAGACAGGCGAUGGGAGAAACAGGAGCUCCUGGGAAGAAGCUAAAGGGAAGACUUCCAUCUCUGUCUUGUUCGGCCCAGGCUGCAAGCUCGCUGCUCAGUGGCCCCUGAUCCAGAAUCAUCCUACACGGAAAUGCUGCGUUGAGAACGCACAGUGCUCCAGUCUCCAGCUCUGCCUUGCGACACAGUCCAAGCGAUGUCACUUCUCCCUGACCCACAGGGCCCUGUCCUCCCUUCCCAGCUUCGCGGGCUAUUUCUGAAUCUUCUG
rnacentral:lncRNA from 1 species